UAUACUGCAAGUCGAGCGAACGGACGAGAAGCUUGCUUCUCUGAUGUUAGCGGCGGACGGGUGAGUAACACGUGGAUAACCUACCUAUAAGACUGGGAUAACUUCGGGAAACCGGAGCUAAUACCGGAUAAUAUUUUGAACCGCAUGGUUCAAAAGUGAAAGACGGUCUUGCUGUCACUUAUAGAUGGAUCCGCGCUGCAUUAGCUAGUUGGUAAGGUAACGGCUUACCAAGGCAACGAUGCAUAGCCGACCUGAGAGGGUGAUCGGCCACACUGGAACUGAGACACGGUCCAGACUCCUACGGGAGGCAGCAGUAGGGAAUCUUCCGCAAUGGGCGAAAGCCUGACGGAGCAACGCCGCGUGAGUGAUGAAGGUCUUCGGAUCGUAAAACUCUGUUAUUAGGGAAGAACAUAUGUGUAAGUAACUGUGCACAUCUUGACGGUACCUAAUCAGAAAGCCACGGCUAACUACGUGCCA
rnacentral:rRNA from 1 species